GAUGAACGCUAGCUACAGGCUUAACACAUGCAAGUCGAGGGGUAACGAGAGGAAAGCUUGCUUUCCUUGUCGACGACCGGCGCACGGGUGAGUAACGCGUAUCCAACCUGCCCCCAACUAGGGAAUAACCUUGCGAAAGUAAGACUAAUACCCUAUAAUUUCCUCAGAUGACAUCUGACGAGGAAUAAAGAUUUAUCGGUUGUGGAUGGGGAUGCGUCUGAUUAGAUUGUUGGCGGGGUAACGGCCCACCAAGGCAACGAGCGGUAGGGGUUCUGAGAGGAAGGUCCCCCACAUUGGAACUGAGACACGGUCCAAACUCCUACGGGAGGCAGCAGUGAGGAAUAUUGGUCAAUGGGCGGAAGCCUGAACCAGCCAAGUAGCGUGCAGGAUGACGGCCCUAUGGGUUGUAGACUGCUUUUAUACAGGAAUAAAGUUAGCCACGUGUGGUUAUUUGUAGGUACUGUAUGAAUAAGGACCGGCUAAUUCCGUGCCAGCAGCCGCAGUAA
rnacentral:rRNA from 1 species